AUUGAACGCUGGCGGCAUGCUUUACACAUGCAAGUCGAACGGUAACAGGGUGCUUGCACCGCUGACGAGUGGCGAACGGGUGAGUAAUGCGUCGGAACGUGCCGAGUAGUGGGGGAUAACGCAGCGAAAGUUGUGCUAAUACCGCAUACGUACUGAGGUAGAAAGUGGGGGACCUUCGGGCCUCACGCUAUUCGAGCGGCCGACGUCUGAUUAGCUAGUAGGUGAGGUAAAGGCUCACCUAGGCGACGAUCAGUAGCGGGUCGGAGAGGAUGAUCCGCCACACUGGGACUGAGACACGGCCCAGACUCCUACGGGAGGCAGCAGUGGGGAAUUUUGGACAAUGGGCGAAAGCCUGCUCCAGCCAUGCCGCGUGUCUGAAGAAGGCCUUCGGGUUGUAAAGGACUUUUGUCGGGGAGGAAAUCCCCAGCGUUAAUACCGCUGGGGGAUGACAGUACCUGAAGAAUAAGCACCGGCUAACUACGUGCCAGCAGCCGCGGUAACAC
rnacentral:rRNA from 1 species